rnacentral:rRNA from 1 species
AUUGAACGCUGGCGGCAUGCCUUACACAUGCAAGUCGAACGGCAGCACGGGUGCUUGCACCUGGUGGCGAGUGGCGAACGGGUGAGUAAUACAUCGGAACAUGUCCCGUAGUGGGGGAUAGCCCGGCGAAAGCCGGAUUAAUACCGCAUACGAUCUACGGAUGAAAGCGGGGGACCUUCGGGCUUCGCGCUAUAGGGUUGGCCGAUGGCUGGUUAGCUAGUUGGUGGGGUAAAGGCCUACCAAGGCGACGACCAGUAGCUGGUCUUAGAGGACGACCAGCCACACUGGGACUGGGACACGGCCCAGACUCCUACGGGAGGCAGCAGUGGGGGAUUUUGGACAAUGGGGGAAAACCUGGUCCAACAAUGCCGCGUGUGUGGAGGAGGCCUUCGGGUUGGAAAGCACUUUUGUCCGGAAAGAAAUCCUUGGCCCUAAUACGGUCGGGGGAUGACGGUACCGGAAGAAUAAGCACCGGCUAACUACGUG